AGUGGAUGGGGAGCAACCUAGUUGUGCGUGUGUAAAGGUAGUGCCAAGAAAAGCGGUGAUCAUGAUGAAAAUCAAUUCCCGGUACCCGAAACCGACACAGGUGGGCAAGUAGAGAAUACUAAGGGGCGCGAGGUAACUCUCUCCAAGGAACUCGGCAAAAUGACCCCGUAACUUAGGGAGAAGGGGUGCCACCGAGAGGUGGUCGCAGUGAAGAGGCCCAGGCGACUGUUUAGCAAAAACAUAGGUCUCUGCAAACUCGAAAGAGGAGGUAUAGGGGCUGACGCCUGCCCAGUGCCGGAAGGUUAAAGAAGUUGGUCAGUCUUAGGAUAAAGCUAGCGACUGAAGCCCCGGUGAACGGCGGCCGUAACUAUAACGGUCCUAAGGUAGCGAAAUUCCUUGUCGGGUAAGUUCCGACCCGCACGAAAGGCGUAACGAUCUGGGCGCUGUCUCGGAGAGAGGCUCGGCGAAAUAGGAUUGUCUGUGAAGAUACGGACUACCUGCAUUUGGACAGAAAGACCCUAUGAAGCUUUACUAUAGCUUGGAAUUGUGUUCGGGCUUCCUGUGCGCAGGAUAGGUGGGAGGCGAAGAAGGUAUUCUUGUGGGGAUACUGGAGCCAACGGUGAGAUACCACUCUCAGGAGGCUAGAAUUCUAACUUAAUUAAGGACAGUUUCAGGUGGGUAGUUUGACUGGGGCGGUCGCCUCCAAAAAGGUAACGGAGGCGUACAAAGGUUCCCUCAGACUGGUUGGAAAUCAGUCGCAGAGUGCAAAGGCAGAAGGGAGCUUGACUGCGAGAAGUACAGUUCGAGCAGGGUGGAAACACGGUCUUAGUGAUCCGACGGUGCUGUGUGGAAGGGCCGUCGCUCAACGGAUAAAAGUUACUCUAAGGAUAACAGGCUGAUCUCCCCCAAGAGUUCACAUCGACGGGGAGGUUUGGCACCUCGAUGUCGGCUCAUCGCAACCUGGGGUAAGUACGUCCCAAGGGUUGGGCUGUUCGCCCAUUAAAGCGGUACGUGAGCUGGGUUCAGAACGUCGUGAGACAGUUCGGUCCAUAUCCGAUGUAGGCGUGAGAAUAUUGAGAGGAGCCUUCCUUAGUACGAGAGGACCGGGAAGGACGCACCGCUGGUGUACCUGUUAUGAUGCCAAUUGUAAACGCAGGGUAGCCAAGUGCGGAGAGGAUAACCGCUGAAAGCAUCUAAGUGGGAAGCCCACCUCAAGAUGAGUAUUCUGGUGUAAGGUCACGGGAAGACGACCCGUAAAUAGGCACGAGGUGGAAGUGCAGAGAUGUAUGAAGCCGAAGUGUACUAAUAGACCGUCGGCUUGA
rnacentral:rRNA from 1 species